GCUAACACAUGCAAGUCGAGCGGUAACACAGGGAGCUUGCUCCUGGGUGACGAGCGGCGGACGGGUGAGUAAUGUCUGGGAAACUGCCUGAUGGAGGGGGAUAACUACUGGAAACGGUAGCUAAUACCGCAUAACGUCCCAAGACCAAAGAGGGGGACCUUCGGGCCUCUUGCCAUCAGAUGUGCCCAGAUGGGAUUAGCUAGUAGGUGGGGUAACGGCUCACCUAGGCGACGAUCCCUAUCUGGUCUGAGAGGAUGGCCAGCCACACUGGAACUGAGACACGGUCCAGACUCCUACGGGAGGCAGCAGUGGGGAAUAUUGCACAAUGGGCGCAAGCCUGAUGCAGCCAUG
rnacentral:rRNA from 1 species